UCAUCGGUUCAAUCCGAUAAAGGGCU
rnacentral:tRNA from 1 species